GCAGAAUUAAUUCUUUCAAAACAGUGCCAGUAGGUCAGAAACAUGAAAUCUGGGCUUCAAAGCAGAACUCAAAUUGUACUGUGGACCUGGAAACUGAUGGUGUCUUGGCCGCCUCUGCCAGCCCUAAAGACGUCAGUUUUGUUUCAAGGGGAGCUUUAGGGCACCAGCAAAGAAACUCAGCUUUUCUUGAAAAUGGCUUUCAACAGCAAGCAGAACCUUUGCUCCCAAAUAACGUGAAGCCUGCCUGUGAAAAGCGCUCUGGCGGCUGUGGCUCUCCUCAGCCUAAGCCAAAUUAUCACCCCCCACUUUCUCCACCACUGCCGCCGCCCCAGCUGCUGCCUUCAGCUACUGAGGCUCGAUUGGGAGGAUCCUCUGAUCAUAUUGAUUCCUCAGUUACGGGGGUUCAAAGAUUUCGAGAUACCUUAAAAAUACCGUACAAGCUGGAGUUAAAAAAUGAGCCAGGAAGAGCAGAUUUGAAGCACAUUGUUAUAGACGGGAGUAAUGUUGCCAUUACCCAUGGUCUGAAAAAGUUCUUCAGUUGCCGUGGCAUAGCCAUUGCAGUUGAGUAUUUUUGGAAGCUCGGCAACAGAAACAUCACUGUGUUUGUCCCGCAGUGGAGAACAAGACGGGAUCCUAAUAUCACAGAACAGCACUUCUUAACCCAGCUCCAGGAGCUUGGAAUAUUAUCUUUAACUCCUGCCCGGAUGGUCUUUGGAGAAAGAAUUGCUUCUCAUGA
rnacentral:lncRNA from 1 species